CAUUGAGAGUUUGAUCCCGGCUCAGAAUCAACGCUGGCGGCGCGCCUAACACAUGCAAGUCGAGCGAGAAAGGGGCAACCUGAGUAAAGCGGCGUACGGGUGAGUAACACGUGGAUCAUCUACCCUUUUGUGGGGAAUAACUCUGGGAAACCGGAGCUAAUACCGCAUAAGUCCGAGAGGAGAAAGCAGCAAUGCGCAGAAGGAGGAGUCCGCGGCUGAUUAGCUAGUUGGUGGGGUAAUGGCUCACCAAGGCUGAGAUCGGUAGCCGGCCUGAGAGGGCACACGGCCACACUGGCACUGAGACACGGGCCAGACUCCUACGGGAGGCAGCAGUGGGGAAUCUUGCACAAUGGGGGAAACCCUGAUGCAGCGACGCCG
rnacentral:rRNA from 1 species